rnacentral:tRNA from 1 species
UCCUUGGUGGUCCAGUGGUUAAGACACUGCCCUUCCACCGCAGGGGGUGUGGGUUUGACCCCUAGUCAGGGAA